rnacentral:lncRNA from 1 species
AGGAUGAAAAGGAUAAAGUCUGCGAAGCCCUCAGGUAAAGAUGGAAAGAAACACUGGAAGGGAAGGAGCAAGUAAGAGGACUCUGGGAGAGGUGAUCUCCUUUUAUUGUGCAUUCAAUUCCUUUGUAGAGUUGGGGAAAGGGAGAUAUUUUAGCAAGGGUCAGUCCUGGCUACUAUUCUGGGACAGUAAUAAAUUAGUUUUCUUUUUCUUUUGUUCAUUUAGGAACUACAGUACUGUUAUGUCAGUAACAUACAUCACAGUCGUACGUCUCCAGGCUUCUUAUCUUCCUUUGAACCUGACCUGGCUACUGUUUGGUGGAUUAUAGAGGAAAAGCUGUAAUGGGAAAGUAGGUUGGGUGAAGGGAUGAGAAAAAGGAAAGCAUCGUGGAGCACAUUAGCAGGCUUUCUCCAUGAAGAAGCAGGAUGAGUACCUUCUCACUGCCAAAGUAGUUGGAGGGACAUCAAACACCAGUGAUGGGAACACUGAACCUCACAUAAGAAGCACAUGAAGAACAGCAGUGAAACCAAGGAUUCUAGCAAGGCCAGCUAUUAGCAAAGCAGUAAGCAGGAACUGGACUAGAUACCAAAUGAUGGGGAAACAGACUCAUAGACCUAAGAACAUAGGAAGAAGAGAUGUAACAUCAACAGAAAGGCAAAAGGUAAGCUCUCUGUAUUCUUUCUUCUCUCUCUCUUUCAAUUCUUCCCCCUUUGCUUAUUCCCUUUUUUUUUCUGGAAUUACAUUUUAAAUUAAGUUUUAGAGCUAUGUGGUAAAUUAUUUGGUCCAAUUCCUUUAUACUUUGGAUGAGGUAAAGUGACUAACAGAGGUCCCCACCAGUAGGAGCCCAAGUCAGUCUGUGAGCUCAGUGCUCCUGAUACUAACUAAGUCCAGUGCCCUUUCAACCACAUAACAUGGCAUUGCUUUACAAAAUCAAGUCCUACAACAGACCUGAGAGGUAAACUGACUUCCUCUUGGGAUUCAAACACUGAGUAGCUCAGAUGGCAGUAAAAAGUCGUGGGAUCCUUAAGGCUUUCGCUCCCACCUCUUUUGCUCUUUCAGGUCCUUUGGAGAAUGGCCCCUUUUCCUCCUGCUUUUCUCUUGUGUCAAAUUCAAGUAGACCAGGG